CACGUAGGGUGCGAGCGUUGUCCGGAAUUAUUGGGCGUAAAGAGCUCGUAGGCGGUGUGUCGCGUCGGCCGUGAAAACCUGCAGCUUAACUGUGGGCUUGCGGUCGAUACGGGCAUCACUGGAGUUCGGCAGGGGAGACUGGAAUUCCUGGUGUAGCGGUGAAAUGCGCAGAUAUCAGGAGGAACACCGGUGGCGAAAGCGCUUGUCUGGCCCAAUACUGACGCUGAUGCGCGAAAGCUAGGGGAGCAAACGGG
rnacentral:rRNA from 1 species